rnacentral:tRNA from 1 species
GAGAUUAUAGCUCAGAGGUAGAGUGCAUGCUUAGCAUGCAUGAGGUCCUGGGUUCAAUCCCCAGCAUCUCC